GUGGCCUGUGCCCUAGCUCCUCCGCGCCGGGGUAGUGGCUGUGUCACGUGGCGCCUGGUGCUCCGACACCCUGUGUCUGCUGCGUCUCCUUGGUGGUGAGGCCGAAAGGACGAUGGAAUCCCUUCCGGAUUUCCCUGAGCGUUUUAUGAUGAUCCUGGACCUACUGUGUGGACAGGGAGGGCAGGCCCAGCUUGUAUCAUUCUGAUUGUCAGCGGACACCAUUUUAGGGCCCAUCAGGCUCUUUUGGCUGCUUGAAAUAAGGAAAACUGAGUCUGGGAAUACAAGUAAUUCAUCCAAGUCACAAAUUUGAAUGAAGACCACGACCUACCUCACAGGGCUGUAAUGGGAGAAAUAAGAUAAUGCAUGCAAAGCUGCGGGCACUUAAGUGGUGUUCAUCCACUGCUACAUUCCGUUCUCUUCCCACUUCAUAGGAAUACAGGACCUUGAAAAUUUUGCAUAUUUGGUAAAAGAUGUGGAAAAAAAUUAGUGAAUGCCCAUCGUGUCUGUUAUUGGUGGACUCUACCAGUGUGUUCUGUGAUUGUAUUCUUUGAUUGCGAUUUUCCACAUGUUGCCCUUUUUCCUCUCAAAGGAAACCUGCCAGCCUUGUGGUACAUUUUUUCGGGUCAUCUUACUCUUUUAGGUGACAGUGGCUUUAAUUGGUUCAAGAGGUAAACUAAUCCUUUCUAUUGAAUUAGUUGUCUAAUGUUUCUUUCUUUGAGGACAGGUAAGUCUUAAUCCAUUUCAGUGCACACUCCUAUCAGUAAUGGAUCCUUUGUGGAAGUUUCAGAUUUAAAGAGAGUUACUUAGGGUAUAUGGGCUUGUUGUUUUUUUUUUUUGUUUGUUUUUUUAAGGAUCCUCCAAGGCUGCUAUUCUCCUUGUUCAGGGAACUAAACCUACUUCCAUUUUUUCUCUUGUGCCGAUGAGCAAAUGGUAUAGGGUUUGUCAUUUAGAUAGCUGGGAGUUUGAAAUAGAAUUCCUCAUUGUGAUAUCACUUUCAGCUUAUAAAAUGAGAAAUGAAAGCCUCUUUCAUUUUUGGGUGCCAUAUGGAAUCAGUUUGAUCAGCAGAUUGCAGUGGGUCCUGCCACAAGUGGAUGUAGGAUUCCAUCUUCCCACUCAGUGUCAUUGUCAGCUUGCCUUCUGAGCAAGAUUUAAGGAUUUUUUUUUCUUUUUUUAAAUACUUUUUUUUGAGAGAGAGAGAG